rnacentral:rRNA from 1 species
AAUCAACGCUGGCGGCGUGCCUGACACAUGCAAGUCGAACGAGAAGGUGACUUCGGUCACUGGAUAGUGGCGUCCGGGUGAGUAACACGUAGGUAAUCUACCUUCGGGUGGGGAAUAACGUCUCGAAAGAGACGCUAAUACCGCAUAAUGCAGCGGCACCUAAUGGUGAUUAGUUGUUAAAGCGGGGGAGUCUUCGGACCUCGCGCCUGAAGAGGAGCCUGCGGCAGAUAGCUAGUUGGUGAGGUAAUGGCUCACCAAGGCUUCGAUCUGUAGCUGGUCUGAGAGGACGGCCAGCCACACUGGCACUGACACACGGGCCAGACUCCUACGGGAGGCAGCAGUGGGAA